ACGCGAAGAACCUUACCUACUCUUGACAUCCAGAGAACUUAGCAGAGAUGCUUUGGUGCCUUCGGGAACUCUGAGACAGGUGCUGCAUGGCUGUCGUCAGCUCGUGUUGUGAAAUGUUGGGUUAAGUCCCGCAACGAGCGCAACCCUUAUCCUUUGUUGCCAGCGGUUAGGCCGGGAACUCAAAGGAGACUGCCAGUGAUAAACUGGAGGAAGGUGGGGAUGACGUCAAGUCAUCAUGGCCCUUACGAGU
rnacentral:rRNA from 1 species